AACGCACAUUGCGCCUCCUGGUAUUCCGGGGGGCAUGUCUGUUUGAGCGUCAGUACACACCUCCUGUGAUCUUCAUUGUUGAUCAGGGUUCCUGGGGUUCUGGGCGGCGUCCUCGACGCGGCUCGCCCCUAAUGUGGCACGCUUGCGGACCUCCAGGUCAGUGAUCGACGUAGUAAACUCGAAAGAAGCUCGUUGAGAAACUGCUGGAUGGCUCUAUUUCGCCUGAAAUCAAACUCAUUUUUCUAUGGUUUGACCUCAGAUCAGACAAGGAUACCCGCUGAACUUAA
rnacentral:misc_RNA from 1 species